UACGUAGGGUGCAAGCGUUGUCCGGAAUUAUUGGGCGUAAAGAGCUCGUAGGCGGUUUGUCGCGUCUGCUGUGAAAAACUCGGGGGCUUAACCCUGGGCCUGCAGUGGGUACGGGCAGACUAGAGUGCGGUAGGGGAGACUGGAAUUCCUGGUGUAGCGGUGAAAUGCGCAGAUAUCAGGAGGAACACCGGUGGCGAAGGCGGGUCUCUGGGCCGUAACUGACGCUGAGGAGCGAAAGCGUGGGGAGCGAACAGG
rnacentral:rRNA from 1 species